rnacentral:rRNA from 1 species
UACAGAGGGUGCAAGCGUUGCUCGGCAUCAUUAGGCGUAAAGGGUAGGUAGGUGGUCUCAUUUGUCUGGGGUGAAAGCCCAGGGCUUAACCCUGGAAGUGCCCCGGAAACGGUGAGACUGGAGUCUUGGAGAGGGUCGUGGAAUUCCCGGUGUAGCGGUGAAAUGCGUAGAGAUCGGGAGGAACACCAGAGGCGAAGGCGGCGACCUGGACAAGCACUGACACUCAACUACGAAAGCGUGGGGAGCAAACAGG